GACGGAGGGGGCUAGCGUUGUUCGGAAUUACUGGGCGUAAAGCGCACGUAGGCGGCCUUUCAAGUCAGAUGUGAAAGCCCCGGGCUUAACCCGGGAACUGCAUUUGAAACUAGAAGGCUUGAGGCCGGGAGAGGAUAGCGGAAUUCCCAGUGUAGAGGUGAAAUUCGUAGAUAUUGGGAAGAACACCAGUGGCGAAGGCGGCUAUCUGGACCGGUACUGACGCUGAGGUGCGAAAGCGUGGGGAGCAAACAGG
rnacentral:rRNA from 1 species